ACGGAGGAUGCAAGCGUUAUCCGGAUUCAUUGGGUUUAAAGGGUGCGCAGGCGGAGUGAUAAGUCAGUGGUGAAAGCCUACAGCUUAACUGUAGAACUGCCAUUGAUACUGUCAUUCUUGAGUAUUGUUGAGGUAGGCGGAAUGUGUCAUGUAGCGGUGAAAUGCUUAGAUAUGACACAGAACACCGAUCGCGAAGGCAGCUUACCAAGCAAUAACUGACGCUCAUGCACGAAAGCGUGGGGAUCAAACAGGAUUAGAUACCCUGGUAGUCCACGCCGUAAACGAUGAUCACUCGAUGUUGGCGAUACACAGUCAGCGUCUUAGGGAAACUAUUAAGUGAUCCACCUGGGGAGUACGGUCGCAAGAUUG
rnacentral:rRNA from 1 species